ACGAACGCUGGCGGUGUGCUUAACACAUGCAAGUCGAACGGAAAGGCCCUGCUUUUGUGGGGUGCUCGAGUGGCGAACGGGUGAGUAACACGUGAGUAACCUGCCCUUGACUUUGGGAUAACUUCAGGAAACUGGGGCUAAUACCGGAUAGGAGCUCCUGCUGCAUGGUGGGGGUUGGAAAGUUUCGGCGGUUGGGGAUGGACUCGCGGCUUAUCAGCUUGUUGGUGGGGUAGUGGCUUACCGAGGCUUUGACGGGUAGCCGGCCUGAGAGGGUGACCGGCCACAUUGGGACUGAGAUACGGCCCAGACUCCUACGGGAGGCAGCAGUGGGGAAUAUUGCACAAUGGGCGGAAGCCUGAUGCAGCAACGCCGCGUGCGGGAUGACGGCCUUCGGGUUGUAAACCGCUUUCGCCUGUGACGAAGCGUGAGUGACGGUAAUGGGUAAAGAAGCACCGGCUAACUACGUG
rnacentral:rRNA from 1 species